rnacentral:rRNA from 1 species
AGGGGGUCCGAGUUGUAAUUUGUAGAGGAUGCUUCGGGUGCGGCCACGGCCUAAGUUCCUUGGAACAGGACGUCACAGAGGGUGAGAAUCCCGUCUUUGGCAGUUGGCCCGCGCCCGUGUGAAGCUCCUUCGACGAGUCGAGUUGUUUGGGAAUGCAGCUCUAAGCGGGUGGUAAAUUUCAUCUAAAGCUAAAUAUUGGCCGGAGACCGAUAGCGCACAAGUAGAGUGAUCGAAAGGUUAAAAGCACCUUGAAAAGGGAGUUAAACAGCACGUGAAAUUGUUGAAAGGGAAGCGCUUGCGGCCAGACUCGGGCGCGGGGUUCAGCGGGUGCGCGUCACCCGUGUACUCCCCGCCGCCCGGGCCAGCAUCAGUUCUGACGGCCGGUCAAAGGCCCCCGGAAUGUAUCGUCUCUCGGGACGUCUUAUAGCCGGGGGUGCAAUGCGGCCCGUCGGGACUGAGGAACGCGCUUCGGCUCGGAUGCUGGCGUAAUGGCCGUAAGCGGCCCGUCUUGAAACACGGACCAAGGAGUCUAACAUCCACGCGAGUGUUCGGGUGUCAAACCCGUGCGCGCAGUGAAAGCGAACGGAGGUGGGAGCCUUAGGGCGCACCAUCGACCGAUCCUGAAGUCUUCGGAUGGAUUUGAGUAGGAGCGUGGCCGUUGGGACCCGAAAGAUGGUGAACUAUGCCUGAAUAGGGUGAAGCCAGAGGAAACUCUGGUGGAGGCUCGCAGCGGUUCUGACGUGCAAAUCGAUCGUCAAAUUUGGGCAUAGGGGCGAAAGACUAAUCGA